rfam:Asian citrus Psyllid, Diaphorina citri - Florida Strain, whole genome shotgun sequence.
GCUCCCAUGGCGUAGUGGUCACUGCGCUCGCUUUCCACGCGGGAGACUCGGGUUCGAUUUCCGGCUGGGUCA